rnacentral:tRNA from 1 species
GCCUGGGUAGCUCAGUGGUUAAGCGUCUGGCUUUAGCCCAGGGCAUGAUCCCGGAGUCCUGGGAUCUAGUCCCACAUCAGGCU